GCAGCACACCAAAGUAGAUGGAAAAAUAUUCCUUCUGGAGGAUGAUUUAGCUGAACUGCGGUUCGAGGGAUUUACUGUGAAUGAUAUUGCUAAGCUUUAUGGAGUUUCUAAGAGGACAGUCACGUACAGAUUGGCAGAUGCUGGCUUGAAUAGGAAAUAUUCGGAAUUGAGUGAUGUGGAUUUGGAUCGCGUAAUUGUGGAUAUUUUAAAUUCGUUCCCGAACGUAGGAUAUCGUUACAUUAACGGCCAGUUAAAAUCAGGAGGUUUAACAGUCCAACGCACGAGAAUUCUGGCUUCUAUGAGAAGACUGGAUCCGUAUGGCAUAGCUAAUCGGUUUUUCCAUUUUGUCCUCGCCGCAUUUAUUCAAAUGCUGGCCCAAACGCGCUGUGGCACAUUGAUGGCAAUCACAAGUUGGUUCGCUGGGGAUUCGUAAUACACGGGAUUAUUGACGGUUACUCUCGAAUGGUUAUUUCUCUCGUCGUUGCAACGAACAAUCGCGCAAGUACAGUGCUGCAGGCCUUCCUCGUUGGCGCUGAAGCUUGGGGAGUGCCGUCCAGAGUGAGAAGCGAUUGCGGCGGUGAAAAUUUCGGAGUUGCACGCUGGAUGGAGCAUUAUAUGGGUCCGAACCGCGCCAGUAUCAUUAUGGGACCGUCAGUUCACAAUCAGCGGAUAGAACGGCUGUGGAGAGACUUGGGUCGCGUUGUGAUUAAAUUAUUUCGAUCUAUUUUCAUUCACAUGGAAAAUAUGCAAAUUUUGGAUAUGACGAGUGCCCGCGACAUGAUGGUUUUGCACUUAGUAUUCACGGAAAGAAUACAGAAUAAGCUCAAUAGCUUCAUUU